rnacentral:lncRNA from 1 species
AGGCCAUCCGGCAGUACCAUGAUCGCCGGGAAAGCAACCGCAGACUUGAGGACAUCGGUGAGUCCGAGGACUCCGGGAACAGCCGUCAAUCCCGGGGUUCCGUCUUUGACCGGAUCGGAGACAAAGCAAAGAAAAAGAAACAAAAGGAAAGUGAGGAAACCCGGCUGAAGAUCUUGGCUGAAAGGAAAGAACAGAUCCGGAAAGAGGAAGAAGAAAAACUUGAGCAAAAAAUCGCCCUCCGGAUUCAACUCGAAGAGGAAAAGUUGACAAAAGGAUCCCGGUCCAAGCGCUACCGGAAGG